GCGGACGUGGCGAAAUGGUAGACGCAGCGGACUUAAAAUCCGCUUGAGCAAUCAGUGUGGGUUCGAGUCCCACCGUCCGCACCA
rnacentral:tRNA from 1 species